rnacentral:rRNA from 1 species
UGCGGAGGAUGCAAGCGUUAUCCGGAAUGAUUGGGCGUAAAGGGUCCGCAGGUGGCAAUGUAAGUCUGCUGUCAAAGAAUGAGGCUUAACCUCAUCAAGGCAGUGGAAACUACAUAGCUAGAGUACGGUCGGGGUAGAAGGAAUUCCUGGUGUAGCGGUGAAAUGCGUAGAGAUCAGGAAGAACACCAAUGGCGAAGGCAGCUCUCUGGGACGGUACUGACACUGAGACGCGAAAGCGUGGGGAGCGAACAGG